UGGGGAAUAUUGGACAAUGGGCGAAAGCCUGAUCCAGCCAUGCCGCGUGUGUGAAGGAGGUCUUCGGAUUGUAAAGCACUUUAAGUUGGGAGGAAGGGCAUUAACCUAAUACGUUAGUGUUUUGACGUUACCGACAGAAUAAGCACCGGCUAACUCUGUGCCAGCAGCCGCGGUAAUACAGAGGGUGCAAGCGUUAAUCGGAAUUACUGGGCGUAAAGCGCGCGUAGGUGGUUUGUUAAGUUGGAUGUGAAAUCCCCGGGCUCAACCUGGGAACUGCAUUCAAAACUGACUGACUAGAGUAUGGUAGAGGGUGGUGGAAUUUCCUGUGUAGCGGUGAAAUGCGUAGAUAUAGGAAGGAACACCAGUGGCGAAGGCGACCACCUGGACUAAUACUGACACUGAGGUGCGAAAGCGUGGGGAGCAAACA
rnacentral:rRNA from 1 species